AGAGUUUGAUCAUGGCUCAGAUUGAACGCUGGCGGCAGGCCUAACACAUGCAAGUCGAGCGGUAGCACAGAGAGCUUGCUCUCGGGUGACGAGCGGCGGACGGGUGAGUAAUGUCUGGGAAACUGCCUGAUGGAGGGGGAUAACUACUGGAAACGGUAGCUAAUACCGCAUAACGUCGCAAGACCAAAGUGGGGGACCUUCGGGCCUCAUGCCAUCAGAUGUGCCCAGAUGGGAUUAGCUUGUUGGUGAGGUAACGGCUCACCAAGGCGACGAUCCCUAGCUGGUCUGAGAGGAUGACCAGCCACACUGGAACUGAGACACGGUCCAGACUCCUACGGGAGGCAGCAGUGGGGAAUAUUGCACAAUGGGCGCAAGCCUGAUGCAGCCAUGCCGCGUGUAUGAAGAAGGCCUUCGGGUUGUAAAGUACUUUCAGCGAGGAGGAAGGCAUUGUGGUUAAUAACCGCAGUGAUUGACGUUACUCGCAGAAGAAGCACCGGCUAACUCCGUGCCAGCAGCCGCGGUAAUACGGAGGGUGCAAGCGUUAAUCGGAAUUACUGGGCGUAAAGCGCACGCAGGCGGUCUGUCAAGUCGGAUGUGAAAUCCCCGGGCUCAACCUGGGAACUGCAUUCGAAACUGGCAGGCUAGAGUCUUGUAGAGGGGGGUAGAAUUCCAGGUGUAGCGGUGAAAUGCGUAGAGAUCUGGAGGAAUACCGGUGGCGAAGGCGGCCCCCUGGACAAAGACUGACGCUCAGGUGCGAAAGCGUGGGGAGCAAACAGGAUUAGAUACCCUGGUAGUCCACGCUGUAAACGAUGUCGACUUGGAGGUUGUUCCCUUGAGGAGUGGCUUCCGGAGCUAACGCGUUAAGUCGACCGCCUGGGGAGUACGGCCGCAAGGUUAAAACUCAAAUGAAUUGACGGGGGCCCGCACAAGCGGUGGAGCAUGUGGUUUAAUUCGAUGCAACGCGAAGAACCUUACCUACUCUUGACAUCCAGAGAACUUAGCAGAGAUGCUUUGGUGCCUUCGGGAACUCUGAGACAGGUGCUGCAUGGCUGUCGUCAGCUCGUGUUGUGAAAUGUUGGGUUAAGUCCCGCAAC
rnacentral:rRNA from 1 species